GUAUGGGAAAAAAAAGAGUGUUUUUUUGUUUCAUUUUUUUUUUUUGUUUGUUUUGUAUUUUCCUUGUUUACGGAAGCAAGUACUUUUGUGCUCUUCAGAGUAAAUGCUGUUGAAGCUUUGUUUGCGUUGAUGAGGCCUGUAACAUUACACAUCCGGUCAUGGGUACUAGACUAGUGUGUGGACUGACAGGAUCCCUUCCCAUUACAGUGCUGCUAAAACCGAGCUUCACGCUACUCCACUGAUUACUCCACUUUGAUACUCCGUAGAUGUUAUGUGCUCUGCUGAAUCCGGAAUGCAGUAAUCGGUGAUGACUGUGAUGUAGCCAUGCAUGUUUCCUGGUGGAUUUUGACUUUAAUCUCCACCCAGUUGGACAUUGGACAUCUUAAUUCUGGCACUACCUCAGCCAUGCCAGAUGCAGCUUAAUAAUAAAUAUCAGGGAAAUGGGGAUCUGUAGUUAUCCUGAACUCCCAUCAAAAACGUGCCAUGUCUGAGUUAGAAUGAGAAACUGAGUUGUAAGUAGUAUAAGCAUAUAAGACUGAAGGUGAUAAAGGCUUGUGUUGGUGUCGGAAAAGAGGAGCCAUCCUGUCACUAGGUUGGCAGUGCCCAACGCAGGUAGACCCUGAGGAUGACGAGCCUGUUCAAGCGCAGCAAUGGAGACUCUAGGAGCAAUGCAAGUGGAGGUGGGGGUAGCAGUGGGCAGGGGCAGCUCAAUAACAGCCGGACAAACCGACCGGUAAGACGCCUGGAGUUCAAUCAAGCUAUGGAAGACUUUAAGACCAUGUUCCCCUCUAUGGACUAUGAGGUGAUUGAGUGUGUACUGCGUUCCAACAAUGGAGCUGUGGAUGCCACCAUUGAUCAGCUUCUCCAGAUGAGCAUCGAUGGACAGGGCUCAGAUGACAGCUCAGAUUCAGAUGGGAGCAUCCCACCAGAGAUUCUUGAGAGAACUCUGGAACCUGACAGUUCAGAUGAAGAACCACCUCCAGUUUACUCUCCACCAUCAUAUGAUAUGCACAUAUAUGACCAGAAAUAUCCAGAAGCCCCACCAACACCUCCCCCACGGUUUGAAGCGCAGCUUCCAUCUGGUCACCAGCAGGUCAGAAGCUACCGAAACUGGAAUCCUCCCCUGCUUGGAAAUCUCCCAGACAGUUUUCUUCGCAUCCUGCCACAGCAAUCUGACAUUAUUAAGCAGAACUCUCAGAGUCGUCAAUCUCAGCCUUCAUUCUCCUCAUCAUCAUCAGUUUCUUCAGUAAGUCAGUGGACAGCUCAUUCUGAAUCUGGUUUGGUAGCUGGUCCAGGUUUGACAACAGGAGCUACAGAGCAAGACAAGAAACUGAAGCAAUAUUUGGAAGAUGAGCGCAUCGCCCUGUUCAUGCAGAACAAGGAGUUUAUGAGAGAGCUGCAACUCAACCAUGAGUUCCUCAUCGCCUUAGAGAGAGAUCGUUUGAAGUAUGAAUCAAAGAAAUCAAAGUCCAGUCACUCAUCUAGUAUGGAGAAUUCUGCAGGAGAACAGUACAUCGCAACUUCAGUGGAGGCCGUCUCAGAUGAUGCCCUGUUCAGGGACAAACUCAAACACAUGGGCAAAUCGACACGAAAGAAGAUGCUAGAAAUUGCCAGGACGUUUUCAGACAAGACAAAGAGGAGAAAGCCAAAAAAAAAGACACUUCUGAAGCUUCAUUCUUUGGCCACAGCCAACUCUACGGCAAAUCUCCUUGAUGAUGUGGAAGGAAACCCCUGUGAUGAAGAUGAUCGGUCCAGACAAGCAAACACUCAGAAACAGACUGAAGAACACAAUGAGCAAUGAGAGGCUUGCUGGAGUAUCCUUUCCUUUACUCUGUAGUCGGAGAACCGGACUAUGAUGGAUCUACGUGGAGCGGGUUCCUUCGGUUUCAUGAUUCUCCUAUGCUGUACCAUGACAUCUUCAGCAUGACCCAUGGGUGGUGGCCUUAUAGCUCUUCCUGUCCCCACCAGCUCACUGCAGCCUAGUUCAAACUAGCUGAUGUAAGGCUCAACAGCAGUGGGCUGUCUUUAAAUGUAUUAUUCAUGUAUUAUUAUACUGUUGGUAUAUAAUUUAAAGGUAAAGAAUGCACUAUAUGUUAACUGCUUUUUUUAAUCCACUGAGAGGGACACGUGUUACUUUUCCAGUCCUGUGCAUUAGUAGACUGUGUUUCUGAAUGCGGUCCCUCCGAUUAGAAAUUUCUAAUCCAAAGUGUUCACAUGCCCCUUUAUAGACUAAACCAUGCAGUUUCUUUUUUAACCAUGAUUUCUUAAUCAGAUUGUAAUAUUUAUUAUUUUUUUUAAUUUUUUUUUUUUGAAUAUCAGGGUUUAAAUAACAGAAUUUCUUAUUUACCCUUACAUUUUGGCUAAAACGCUAGCUUCCCAAAUGUUAACACUUCUCCAUGGUAAUAAUAGCUAUUUGGUCACUGCUUAUGGUCAGUGUUCUUAAAAUGUGUUUGUGGCUGUGUUUGGAGCACAUUAAUAGUUUGCUGGAGUCCAGAGUCACAUUUUCAAAUAAUGGAGUGAACACUUUUAACAGUAGCUACAGCGGGUAAAAUAAGUAUUGAACUUAUCACAAUACUCAUCUUAUUGUUGUCUUUGAAACAAUUGUACCUGCUAAUUCCAGGUCUUUCUGAAGCUCUCCUCGUUUUUGGACAACAUAAUUCUUUUCACUCCUCUGUCAGAAAUCUUGUGAGGAGCACCUGGUCCUGGCUGGUUUAUGUUUGAAUGAUAUUCUUUCCACUUGUGGAUUAUGGCCCCAACAGUGCUCACUGGAACGUUGAGAAGUUUAGAAAUCCUUCUAUAACCAGUGCCAUCAGAAUGUUUGCAACAAUAAGGUUGCGAAGGUCUUGAGAGAGUUCUUUGAUUUUACCCAUCAUGAGAUGUUCCUUGUGUGACACACCUUUAUAUAGGCCAUCAGUUUGGACUGAACCAGCUAAUAUUCAUUGGCACUGACAAGGGGUAGCAUGUAUUUCUGAUCACUGAUAGAUUUCAGCUGGUGUCUUGGCUUUCCAUGCCUUUUUCCACCUCCCUUUCUGCGUGUGUUCAAUACUUUUCCCUCUGUUGUUUUACAUUAUUACACAUAACUUAAUUUCUGGACUUAUUUGUGUUGGUUUCUUUCUAUGUAUGGAUUACUUGAGUUGAUACCAACACCUGGUGAAAAUUUCAUUUCAAUAACUUGAAAGGUUAACUAUGAAAAAUAAUUUUACCCAUUGUAUAUAAGAAACACCAACCAGCUUCAUCUUGAAAACCACUUACAGGAGAAGUAAAUAACACUGACUAUCCUGUAACAAUGUUCUACUGGGAAACUUUUGAACCUAGCAUAUGUGUGAAUGUUACUUAGACAUGUACCACCCACCCAGCUAGACCAGACCCCACCCCA